GGAGGAAUCCGACUCCUCCGGACCGCCUCGCGGCCGCAGCGGACACAUCAGCACGUCAGCGACGCUCUUUGUUUGUGUGUGUCAUUUUAGCGCUAUUUCCAGCGCCGUUGCCGAAGGACAAAGGGGCAGUUAUGUUACAAACCCAGAGCUCCAUUCAUUCAGCUCGGCUGGCUGAUAGACAAGGCCCCGCGGAUGAAAAGCUCACAUCAGCCAACACAAGAGCGCAGCAAUGAAAGAGAUGGAGCAGAUGGCUGGAAAGUCCACACACGUGGGCUAGAGAUCACCUGUCCUGCACCCAAAGUUAUUAAGGAAGAGGAACUUCAUGUUAAAGCAGGCAAGUGUCUAUAGCCAGGGUAACCAUGGUAACUAGGGUGGAGGAUGAAAAUGAGCUGGAGACAGGCCAGGGUCCUGAGUCCUGCUCCUAAAAGAUAUUACAUCAGUUGAAUAAAAAGCUUUUUUCUGGGUACAAAUGUGCUCAUUUCGCAUACCUUUGUCUGCUUCCUUUCCUGUAAAGGUACGACUACAUAUGCUGACUCUAUUUGACUGCGUCUGAUCCCAUACACACGUCGCUUCGGCCUCCAUUCAAACACUGACCAUCUGAGCAAACGUUUGUGGCGGAAGCUCUCAACAAUAAACCUGUGUCACAGUCACAAUCACUUAAACAACUUAUUUUUUAUCUAAAACUAAUGAAAGCCUGCUCAGAGUUUGCAUAAAUGCCACAGAGCAUGACUGGUUCUACUGUAAUUAUUAUUAAUUCUGCAGCUGUUGCAGUGCAGCCUUCCUCCAGCAGAGGUCAGUCUUUACACAGAUUUAAACCUGAGGUUUAAUCCAGCUGUGAUUUAUUUUAUUCCCUAAUAGGUUUUGUAAGCUGGCCACCUUCAGGAGACUGCAAAUAGUGCACAGACUCUUCAGCGGUUGGUGAAAAUGAGGAGGCAGGCCCUCACUCCCUUAAACAUCCAUCUGGAUGGGAAUAAUUGACACCAUCGGGUGAGGAUGAGGGAAUAUGAGCUCCACUAGUGAUAUUCCUCAGCGAGCUCCAGGUUGGUGAGGACAGAAGAUGGCAGAAGUAGGAAAUGGGUCUGUGUGUGUGUGUGUGUGUGUGUGUGUGUGUGUGUGUGUCAGUGGGUCAAAGAUGUGACAUACAAAUGUUCCUCCACCUCCACAUU